rnacentral:rRNA from 1 species
GAUGAACGCUAGCGGCAGGCCUAAUACAUGCAAGUCGAACGGUGUAGCAAUACACAGUGGCGCACGGGUGCGUAACACGUAUGCAACCUACCUUACAUUGGGGGAUAGCCUUUCGAAAGGGAGAUUAAUACCGCAUAAGACAGUAACUAGGCAUCUAGUAGCUGUUAAAGAUUUAUCGAUGUAAGCUGGGCAUGCGUCCAAUUAGUUAGUUGGUGAGGUAACGGCUCACCAAGACGAUGAUUGGUAGGGGAACUGAGAGGUCAAUCCCCCACACUGACACUGAGAUACGGGCCAGACUCCUACGGGAGGCAGCAGUAGGGAAUAUUGGGCAAUGGGCGCAAGCCUGACCCAGCCAUGCCGCGUGCAGGAAGAAGGCGUUAUGCGUUGUAAACUGCUUUUAUACAGGAAGAAACGACCCUUACGAGGGGCAUUGACGGUACUGUAUGAAUAAGCACCGGCUAACUCCGUGCCAGCCGCCGCCGUAAUAC